rnacentral:lncRNA from 1 species
AGUCAGGAUUUGGAUGCAGGUAGUUUGUUUCAGAGAGCCCACGUUUUACCGGGAUGCUGUUAAUGAAUAUGAAAGGAGGAGAGGAAUGUCAGGGGUCUGGGCAAAAUCGUCCCUCCCUGGGCCAGGAUUGCCCGCAUGCUCCCGUUCUUGUCCUUGGAAAGCCUGUUCACCUUUCCAAAGCUGUUUCUUCCACGAGGCAUGAAACCCUUCUGGAUGGAAUAGGAACAAAACUAUGUUUUAAAGAUCUCCUCUUCUGAUUUCCUGCACUGAGAGAGAAUAUGCUGCUAGAAGACAAAACAGGCCAUAUGGUACACAGAUCUUCAGAAAGAAUGGAUUAAAAACUGUAAUGCUUUCAAGGACAAAAAAACGCUGUACCAAAUCUUUUCAUUUAAAUUGUACAAAUGGAUGAAGUGGAAGUAAUAUUCUCAUUUCUGCCAUUCUUUUGGUUUAAAGCAUUUAAAAGCUAUUUGCAUAUAUAAAAAAGGCAAUUUGUAAGUUAAAAUUAACAAAGGAAUGGAAGUUUCUUGGAUACCAUACAGGAAAGAGAAGAGGUUGAAGGGAAAAUUAGCAGUAAUGAAAAGAUCAGAAAGAAGUGGACAACUGGUAACAAUCUUGUGGUUUUGGGAUGGGUAAGGGAUAUGAUUUAAAAAAAACGUGUGGGUGUUUGUGUGUGUAUGCAUGUAUGUGGGGGAAUACAAAACUAAUGCAUGCUCAGUUAAAAAGAAAUCAAACUCUGAAGAAAUUUUUAAUGUGGU